GCAGGGAUCCCAGAUGUGGAAUGUGCUAAAUGCUAGAAGUGAGACAAAGUAAAAGUAAAGAGUGACUGCCCUUUAUAGUCAACUUUGGUCAAUUUUUUCAUAAAUUUUUAAUUGUAAUUUUUACAAAAAUCUGUUCUGAAACUUUUAAGACAAAUUUAACCAAACUUGUCCACAAUUAUCAUUAGAGUAUCUAGUUUAAAAAAUGUGUCCGAUGACCUGCCUGGCGAACCAAGAUGGCUAAAAAUAGUACAUAGGGUGAAAUGCAGUUUUUAGCUAAAAUCUCAAAAACCAAAACUUUAAAGCAAAUCUGACGAGUUCAAUUUGUUCAUUAGGGUCAAGGUCUAUCUGCCUUGAAAUUGCAAGACUAAUCAGGCAACCUGUUGUUGGGUUGCUGCCACUGUAUUGGUAAUUUUAAGAAAAUUUUUCAGCUUUUCGUUAUUAUCUUGAAUAUUAUUAUAGAUAGAGAUAAACUGUAAACAGCAAUAAUGUAAAGCUAAGUAAGACCUACAAAUAAGUCAACAUCAUGAUGAAAAUGGUCAUUUGACCCCUUAAGGAGUUACAUGUAUUGUCCUUUAUAGUCAAUUUUUAACAAUUUUCCUAAAUUUUGUAAAUCUUGUAAAAUUUUACAAAAUAUUUUAACUACUGGGAUAGAUUUAUGGGUUCAUUAUAGAUAGAGACAAUUGUAAGCAGCAAGAAUGUUCAGUAGAGUAAGAUCUGCAAACACAUCAACAUCAUCAAAAAAUUUUUUUGUCAAGAAUCCAUCCGUGUCCUUUGUUUAUAAUGAUAUGCACAUAGACCUAGGUGGGCGACACAGGCUCUUUAGAGCCUCUAGUUUAAGAUGUGGACCGAAGAUAAAAUUCCAUGUGAAGCCAUUAGGAACCCUAUUUUCUUGAACUGUAUACCGGUAAGCUGACUGUAAAUAGGAAGUGAAAUUCGGUCCGUAAAUAAGAUUCCGUAAUCAGUCAGGGGACUUACUUAAACAAGUGAUUUUCGAAAUCACUGAUUCAAGUAACAUUAUUUCCAUAAAGGUUGGAAGUUAGAGUUGUCUUUCUUUAAUAAUCACCUAUUUAAGUAGUACAAAUUAAUCACUAGAAGAAGUGAUUUAAUUUUAUUGUAGCUUUAAAUAUAGAAUACUAAUGAUCCAGGGACUAAUAAUGUUUCUAAACUUACCAGAAUUCAGAACCAACAUCUGUGUUGUCUAGGAUGACCAGGUCAUUUCAGAUGAUGACCUUGUACUGAAUCUAGGAUAAUGACAUAAAAAUCACUUGUUUAAGUAUCACCCCAAUUUCCUUCCCAAAAAUCACUAAUUUCAACACCCCCCAAACAGUGAAAUUUUUAUUGAGAACAGUAGAAUUUUAUUACAUAAUCUGAAAGAUGAAACCUUGAACUUCACAGGAAAAAUACUCCCACUGCUGUGAAAAAUCUUUGAAGAAAGUACGUAUCAGUGCAUUAUGAAAAGUCAUUAUUAUAGCAUUUUUUCAACUAAAAUAGAAUUUUCAGCUAAAUCAUAGCAUCAAAGGCAUAAACCUUGCUACUUAAAAGAAGCAAAAAGUUCAUAUUUUUUAAUUUUACUAAUUAAAAGAUAUUAUUUAAACCUAUUUGUUUAAAAUUUUGAAAAAACUACAAAAUCCCAAUUUGUGACAAAACCUCAAAUUUGCUACUCAAAUAAAUGAUCAUUUAUUUGAGUAGCAAAUCACUUAUUUCAGUAAGUCCCCUGACUGGUAAUAUAUAUACAAACUACCGCAUGAUGUUACUAUUAGGUAACGUCACAAGUUGUUACUAGUAACGAUAACAGUUCUGUCUGAUGAACUCUAGGAGAUGCGGUGAAAGUGCUAACAGAAACAAUGUUUGAUUUAUAACGUGAUUUUUGUCAAGCCUGCAACUUUUGUUGCAGAAAGCUCGACAUAGGGAUAUAGUGAUCCGGCGGCGGCAUUAGCUAACUUCUUAAAUAAAAUUGAGAAUGGAAAUGGGGAAUGUGCCAAAGAGACAACAACCCGACCAUAGAAAAAAACAACAGCAGAAGGUUACCAACAGAUCUUCAAUGUAACGAGAAAUUCCCGCACCCGGAGGCGUCCUUCAACUGGCCCCUAAACAAAUAUAUAUAUACUAGUUCAGUGAUAAUGAACGCCAUACUAAUUUCCAAAUUGUACACAAGAAACUAAAAUUAAAAUAAUACAAGACUAACAAAGGCCAGAGGCUCCUGACUUGGGACAGGCGCAAAAAUGCGACAGGGUUAAACAUGUUUGUGAGAUCUCAACCCUCCCCCUAUACCUCUAGCCAAUGUAGAAAAGUAAACGCAUAACAAUACGCACAUUAAAAUUCAGUUCAAGAGAAGUCCGAGUCUGAUGUCAGAAGAUGUAACCAAAGAAAAUAAACAAAAUGACAAUACUACAUAAAUAACAACAGACUACUAGCAGUUAACUGACAUGCCAGCUCCAGCUCCAGACAGCUUUAUAUUUUAAAAGGUAUAAGACCUGGAUGCUUCAUACUUUGUAUAUAGAUGCCUCAUGUUACGAACUUUCCGUCAGUCACAUGUCCAAUGUCCUUGACCUCAUUUUCAUGGUUCAGUGACUACUUGAAAAAAAAGUUAAGAUUUUUUGUAAUGUUAAAUUCUCUCUUAUUAUAAGUAAUUGGAUAACUAUUUUUGGUAUCUGCGUACCUUGCAAGGUCCUCAUGUCUGUCAGACAGUUUUCACUUGACCUCGACCUCAUUUCAUGGAUCAGUGAACAAGGUUAAGUUUUGGCGGUCAAGUCCAUAUCUCAGAUACUAUAAGCAAUAGGUCUAGUAUAUAUAUUCAGUGUAUGGCAGGACUGUAAGGUGUACAAGUCCAACUGGCAGGUGUCAUCUGACCUUGACCUCAUUUUCAUGGCUCAGUGUUUAUAGUUAAGUUUUUGUGUUUUGGUCUGUUUUUCUUAUACUAUAUAUAUAUAUAGCUAUAUGCAAUAGGUCUACUAUAUUUGGUUUAUGAACUGAUUGUAAGGUGUACAUGCCUAGCUGACAGGUGUCAUCUGACCUUGACCUCAUUUUUAUGGUUCAGUGGUCAAAGUUGAGUUUUUGAGUUUUGGUCUAUUUUUCUAAUACUUUAUGCAUUAGGUCAACUAUAUUUGGUGUAUGGAAAUAUUUUAUGAUCUAUAUGUUUGUUACACAGGUUUUAUUUGACCUUGACCUCAUUUUCACGGUCCAUUGCUAAGUGUUAAGUGUUUGCGUUUUGGUCUGUUUUUCUUAAUUUAUAAGCAAUAAGUCAAAUAUAUUUGUUGUAUUGAAGAAUUGUUAGCUGUACAUGUUUGUCUGGCAUGGUUCAUCUGAUCUUGACCUCAUUUUCGUGGUUCAUUCAUGAUUGAUCAAUGUUUUGUUUUCUUGUUUAGUGUUGAGUUUAUGUAACAGUUGUAAUAAAGCUUUAUAUUUAGGUCUAUUAACAUAAUAUCAAUGAUUAGUAAAGAAGGCGAGACAUUUCAGCGUUUGCACUCUUGUUUGUGCUUUUUAUUUUUAAGCUAUAUAUAUAUAUAUAUAUGUUCUUUGAAAAUUUCCUAAUACAUUGUAGGUCAUCAAAAAUGUGUGUCAUUAAUAUUUACAUGUACUUGGGACCUUUUUAAUGUUCAAAACUGUUCUAUUUGCUUAAAAGUAAUCUGAAGCAAUUUCUAGACAUGCUUCUAUCAUCAAGGUAAAAAGCCUUGUGACCUAAAUAUUGAUAAAUCAGUUAAGCUAAAAAAAAAAUUUUCAUUAAUAAAACAAUUUACAGAUGAUUAAGUAUAAAACAAUUAUAUAUCUAUUUCAAGGAAACUAUAAGAAUGUUUAAAAGUUUAAAAAGUCACAGAAUCUAAAUAAAAAAAUUGUAACUUUGCAUUAUUUGUUAAAGGGACACUCAGUGACAGUAUGGACUCAGUUCAUCAUUAUGAUAGGAGCACAUGUCCUGUGCAUGCUGUGUAUAUAGUAUAAUAGAUUUAUUAUGUCUAGUCUAUCUUAAGUUUGGUUAAACUGCCCACUGGGAAAACAUUAUUACAUGUUUACAUUCCCAAUUACUACUAUUAGUCAAUUAUGUGUGAAAAAUUUCAAUUUCAUGGGUUUUAAUCCCCCAGGAUAUAAAUGAAGAUAUAAAACUUUUAUUCUCAGUACUGUCUCAGUUACUUACUUAAAGACAAUAAAAAUAUAAAAUUAGGGUAAUAUAAUAUUCCCCCAAAAAAUGAACAUUGAGAAGUUCUCACUCUGAUACACAUUUCAAAGAUCAUAUAAAUCAUAUAUAUCUUUUUUGAAUUAGAUGUGAGGACAUGAUGGGUAAUUUAUAAACUCUUUCCUUACUUAGAAAAAGCACCUGGUUUCCGUAAGAGCAGAACAUUUCAAGGGGAGGAUGCAGAGCCUCUAUAUAUUUACAGUUCUCCUGGAUACUGAUUUGUGAACAUGUAAAAAUAAGGCAGAUAAAUCACUCAUGUAACCUCAACAACGAUAGCGACAAAUGUAUAAUUUUAUUUACUUUUUUCAAUUUCUCAUUGAUGUGAUGUAAAUUUUCUGUUAGAAACUCACACGACUGUCUAUCUAAAUUAGUGUGACAGUUGCACAAGACUGUUUUAUCUUAAUUUUGCAGAUUUUUUUUUCUAGGUGUACAACUGUGCAAGUAUUGAACAUCAGCUUGAAAUGCAAUGUGACCUAAAAGACAGCAUAAUAAUGGACAGAUGUAAGUAAUGAUAAAAUAGUCAAUGAUAUGGGAAAUGUAUGAAAUUGUAAGAAAAAAGUUGACAGACAUAUUAUUUUACACCUGUCCCUCCGUCGGUCAGUUAGCUAUAGGUCAAAGUACAGCCUUCAACAAUGAGCAAAGCUCAUACUGCAUAGUCAUAUAUAUAUAAGCCCUGAAAUUACAAUUGUAAAACAAUUCAGAACUAAUGACCUUAAUAUUAAUAUACAAAUAAAAUAACUAAAAACAAAUAUAUGCAACACAGCAACAUACAACAACCACUGAUUGUCCAGGUUCCUGACUUGGGACAAGCACAGAAGAUGGCAGGAUUAAACAUGUCGGCGGGAUCCAAGCCUUCAUAAAAUCAUGUAUUUUAGAUAUUCUCCUCAAGAAAAUCUGAUACAUGUAUAUCAGAAAUGUAAUUAACAUCAACCAUUGUCAACACUUUUAAAAGUUGUAUUUAACUUUAUUUAAUUUAUUCUUAUACAAAGAAGAUGUGGUAUGAUUGCCAAUCAGACAAUUCUCGACAAGAGACCAAAUGACACAGAAAUUAACAACUUAAGGUCACUGUACUGCCUUCAACAAUGAGGAAAGCCCAUACCACAUAGUCAGCUAUAAAAGGCCUCCAAAUGACAAAUGUAAAACAAGAAAACAAAAAACUAACUGCCUAAUUUAUGUACAAAAAAUGAACAAAAACAAAUAUAUGUAACACAUCAACACAUCAACAAAUGACAACCACUGAGCACUGCAUUAAAGACUCCUGACUUGGAACAGGCACAUACAUUACAUUGUACCUUAAUAUUUUAAUUCACAUAUUGGUAUAAAAUCUAUUAUGUUUUUUUACUCAAAUUUUUUUUUUAGAUUGUAUAAUGGUAUGAUGUCGUGGUCAUCAUCGUCCGAAGACACAUUGUUUUCCGGAUAAUAACUUUAGUUUAAGUGAUUAGAUCUUUAUGAAAUUUUCUCAGAAGGUUCAAAAGAGGGACGAAAGAUACCAAAGGGACAGUCAAACUCAUAAAUCUAAAACAAACUGACAACACCAUGGCUAAAAAGACAAACAGAAAAACAAUAGUACACAUGACACAACAUAGAAAACUAAAGAAUAAACAAAAAGUACCAAAAAAGGAAGGUUGGGAUCAAUUUUGUGAAUGAUGGUCCCAACUGUUUAGGGAUAAGGGGCCCAAAACAAGCAUUUUUCUAGUUUCAGGAUAAUAACUUAGUGUACAAGUAUUUAAAUUGCUCUGAAAUUAUACCUUAAUGUUGAGACCACACGUAGAAGGUUAUGAUUCAUUUGAGAGGUUAUGGGGCCAAAGAGAACUUGUAAACGGUUCAGAUCCCUACCCCUAAACCAUAUAUAUUCUUGAAUGGAACAAUUUAACAAAUCAAACCAAAUAUAGGGGGAGUCUAUGGGGUUACCCCACACCCUUUUGUUAGAAUACUUGUAAACAGUAGAGAUCCCCACCUCUAAACCUUAUAUAUUCUUGUAUGGGAUAAUAAAACAAAUCUAAUAAAAUAUGGGACCAUGGAAAUGGCAAAUUAUGGGAGCUUUGUUUGGAAGAUUUCGUAACAGCAUCCUGUUACAAUUACUUCUUGUUUAUUACACAUAUUUUAGUGUAUUAAAGUAAUUAUACUGCUUCGACCUUUCAAAAUUCUAAGAAAGCUCUAUCUCUUUAAUGGAUAAAUAAAUGAAACUAGUCAAGAACUCAACAGAUAAUUUUUUUUCAGGUUCUCUGAUUGUAAGUACCUGUUGGCCACACACAUGAAUACUCUCAUUGAUCCUGCAUUCAGCUAAAUAUCAGAAAAAUUAAGAACAAAGGAAAAUAUGCUGAAACUGUACAGUCACUGGUCAGGAUUAUUUCAGAAGUGCAAUUAUAAUACAAUAUAUGUUACUGGUUAAUUUCUAUGAUUUGUAAAUUGAAACAACACACAGAGGCUUUGCAUUAUUGUUUUACAAGAAAGACACCAAAAGAUGCAGUCAACAUUUAUCAUUUUUAUCAAAAUACGCCCAGGACAAACCAUGGGUACACUUAGCUUGAAAGAUGGUGCUUUCAUAUCAAAAUUGCCUGGAAGUAAAAGAAAUAAAGAACCAAAAUUCAUGUCAGCAAUCAGGGGAUAAGAUGAAAGAAUACAGAAUAAGGUACUGUCAUGUUCAGUCUUUAUAAGAGUCCUGAUGCUCUAUAUAUACAAAUGUAUAUGCAUUUUGUUAUGCCCCGUCAUAGCAGUGGGGGCAUUUAGUUUUAUCCUUGUAUGUUUGUACAUAAUAUUAGAUUUAAGAAGAUGUGGUAUGACUCCCAAUGAGACAACUCUCCAUCCAAGUCACAAUUUGUAAAAGAAAAACCAUUAUAAAUAGGUCAAAGUACAGUCUUCAACACAUGUACAGAGCCUUGGAUCACACCCAACAGUAAGCUAUUAUUAUUUAAAAAAAAAUUACUAGUGUGCAACCAGCUUUGAAACAUUAAACCAAAGGUUUAUUCUAUAUAAAAAAAGAGAAAAGAGAAACACUUAUAGUGCAUGAUUUUCUCACUUUGUUGAAGACCCAUUGGUGGACUUUGGUUGUUGUCUGCACUUUGGUCGGGUUGUUGACAUAUUCCCCGCAUUUCCAUUCUCAAUUUUAUUAAGAAGUUAUUGAACUUUAUUCUUUGAAAAUGUGAUGGAGGUAUCAUGUGCACAUGGCGAAUCUGUUUAUUUGUUUUAGUUCACUAUAAACUUAAGUUUGCUUAACCAAAUGUACUGAAACUUAUACACAAUGCUUAUAACCACAAAACUCAGAUCAAGUACUCAUUUGGGUACUGUGUGUCACUUUUACCAUUCUUAAUUUAUGACCCCUUAAAAUGUUAUAUGCAAGCAGGGGCAUAAUCUGUGUCCCAUGGACCCAUUCACCAUUUAUUUAUUCACAGAAUUUUGAAAGGAAUAAAUAAUCCAUGAUGUUCAUAUAGAUAAAAUAUAUUGUUUCAAGAAUUUUUAUCUGUUUAUUACAGAUGAAACGAAACUCUAACAACAUGAACAACACAAAAAAUAACUAAAUAGCAUAGAUGCAGUUUUGACCUAUAUCAUGUAUAUUUAUAUAAAAAUAAUGAUGAUUGCCAAUGAGACAACUAUCCACCAAAGUUUGAAUAAAGUGGAUAUAAGCAGUUUUAGGUAACUGUACACCCUUAUGAAUGAUAAAAACCUGUACUGUACAUAUAGUCCGCUGUAAAAGGUCCCGACAAGAAAAAAUAUGAACAAAAACAUUUGAGAAAACUAAAGGCCUAAUUUAUAUAAUUUACAACAAAACAAGUAGCGAAAAUCAAAUGUAUAACAUAAGUAAACCAACGACUUAUGGAAUUACUGGCUCCUGACUUGGGACAGGCACACAAAGAAUGUGGCAGGUUAAACAAAUUUUUGGUUGCUCAAACCUCCCCUAACCUGGGACAGUGGUGUUACAGCACAACAUAAGAACAAACUAUAAAAAUCAGUUGAAAAGGUUUCAUCAUAUUUGUAUAGGUCAACUGUCUUGAAAUGAUCAACAAGUGAUUGUAGAAUUGAAUAACCAAAAACACACAAACAUCUACUGUCAACACCAAAUUCCCCAAAACAAAAGCUUUAAGGGGGAUCGCAGGCAUAAAACAAUUUUUGUUUUUAAACAUAGAAUUUUGCUAUUUUUUUUCUAGAAAUAAACUUUAUAUAUCCUAUACUUAAAUAGAAAAAUAAAAGUAUAGGGUCACCGUUCAUUAAAGCUCACAAUCUGCCUUCGAAAGAAGCAUGUAUUUUUUGCUAAGUACCUUUUUACUGUAGAACUAAAACAUGUAAUAGGACAAAAUGUAAGAGGAAAAAAAAUGUAAUUUCAAAAUAUAAAGAACUAAAUUACAGAAAUUGCUUAAAUUUUACAAUAGUUGAGUUUUAGUACAGCUUAUUUUGAGAAAAAAAUAAUGAAAAAAUAUAAGUCACCCAUGAGUUGAAAAAGAUGUUUCAAUUUUAAUGCCAAAAAAUUGGCAUUUUUUCAUCUAAGGGAGAUAAUUUAGAGCUUUUUCAGUGGUAUAAACAUUUCAAAAAUCAUCUGGGGCCAAAACAAAUAGAUUUUUUGGUUGAUUUUUGUACCAUAUCAUAUAUUAACCUCUAAUAGUAUAAGAAAUAAAAUUUGUAAUGAAAAAAAAAAAUGUUUAAAUUUUUGCUGAAUUUUUAUACCCUCAAGCAUCCUUAAGAUACAACUUUAGGUGACAGGAAAUGUCUUGACUUGGGAAAGCCACAUGCAAACUCAAUGUUGCUCCCCUUGUAAAUCUCGAUUAGUGUUUUUAAAAAGAAAAAAAGUUAACAUAAAAGAAUGCAGGUUGUCAGGAUCACAUUCAAUUGGAGAAAGGGAAAAGAACACAACUUUACACUAAAUAAUUUUGAAAACUUAUUGCCUAUACUAUCUUUAUUGAUAACAGACUGAGCCAAAAACGUUUUCAUCUACUAGUACGGACACUAAAUAUCAAAACUUGUGCCUAUAUAACUAUAUAAAAUUUUAAUAAUAUAUACUAGUCCGAAUCAAUAUUUACUGGUCUGGGGCAUUGGACUAGUGGCUAACAGUGCAGACUGUGAUAAAAAAAAUUCAGAAACAUUAUGUACAUUAUGAUCAUUGUGAUUGUGUUAAACAUCAGACAAGGCAAUCAAAAUGGUCAGAGGGGGCAAAGAAGUUUUGUUAUAAAUGUCAAAUGGUUAUAGUCUCAACCUAUCAACAUGAUCAAAAUUGUUGAUUUCACAGUUAAUAUUUACUUUUAGCAUGUUCAGCGGAAUAGAAUGUUUUUGUUAUAUUUUAUUAAAUGUUAAUUUACUUUGUUCUUAUAGGCAGGAGUGAAAGGAAGAGAAAACAAGGCAUCAGUAAAGAAGCAGAUCAAUUUAUAUUGAUAUGUAAUAAUUCCA
rnacentral:lncRNA from 1 species